CUUGUAGCAGUUUUACUUUGUAGAAAUAUGUCAAAAUUGAUAAGUGAUGAUAUUUUUAUUGAGGCUAAUAUAUUAUCCUUUGGUGCCAUGAAUGGAUGAAGAAACUUUUGGAAGGCUAAACUAGUGGAUACAAGAAACUUAAGCAAAUUAUUACACCACCUGGGUGUGAGAGAUAAUGAAUAUUAUCUACUAGGUAUCAGCAAACAGGUGUCCAAGGUGAUCAAUUCAGGACUCUUCCACUGAAGAGAUGUGAAGUGUAAGUUUAACUGAAGUAUCAUUGCAAUUGUGUGCCUUCUCAGUUAUUGGGCAAUUUAAAGAGCAUGAUGAAUGUUUUUAGUAUAAUGGUGUAAAUCCUUUUGAUUUGUUGCAUGAAAGACAUGUGGGAUCAUGUAGCACCUGCUUUGGCAUUGAUUCUCAGGUGUGUGAGUUGCUCCUCUGAUUUUAGAUCACAUUUGUUCUCAUCACUAGGCCUACGCACAUUGAUAUUGACACAGUUUUAUUUUACUUUUUGACAUAUGAGAAAUCAUACCAUGUUUGAAAUUGUAAGGGUAUAUUUCAUGGAGCCUGUAUUCCCUUUUCUCAGUGCAUUUCUGUCAUGUUCUAAUCCCCAGACACAAAGUAGAAGCCAUCAAAGCCUACGCUAAUACAGGCAGGAGGACAGAGUUUGAUGCUAACACUGCAUGAAUGUGUGGAUAUCUUUGUCAUAUUUACAUAUGAGUGAUUAUGAAUCCCUUUUGCUUUUCAGUGUCUUCUCAGAAACCACCAGCCUUGAAGGUAAUGAAACUCUCAUUUAUAUUGUGAACUAGUUAAUGUAUGGUCUAUGAAACAUACUUUAUUUAUUUAUUAUCUCAUUUCAAAUUCCAUUCAGGCUACAAGUGUCAAGGAAGAUUCUGUUUUGGAUAUAGCCAGAGAAAAAAAGGAUGGAGAAAAAUCUAGGACAGUGUCUUUUGAGCAACCACCAGGCUUGAAGGUAAUGAAACUCUCAUUUAUAUUGUGAACUAGUAAAUGUAUAGUCUAUGAAACAUACUUUAUUAAUUUAUUAUUUCAUUUCAAAUUCCAUUCAGGCUACAAGAGACGAGAAAUAUUCUCUUUUGAAUAUAGCCAGAGGAAAAAAGGAUGGAGAAAAAACUAAGAGAGGUAAUUUUGAAAAGAGAUUUAAUGUCAUGUUCAGUCCAGAUAGAUAAGAAAUUCUUUUCCCUGAAUAAAUCAGUGGGGGGCUCGUUGAAGCUGCACAUUCUGAUUUCGCCGUCCUGAGAUUCUUCAUUUCAAAUAAGUUCGUGGGUGAUGCUGUUGCUGCUGGUCUGGAACAUGAUCUUCGCAGUAAGAUUAUACACUUCCCCACAUUGAAAUUGGGAAGAAGAAAUAUGGAGAGCAGUUCAAGGCAUAAGGGGCUCUGGGGAACAACAUAAUUUUGCUUUAAUUCUCCAGCUUGUUUUCAGUAAGGGUGGAAGGAGAAAGAGAGGAAGUAUA
rnacentral:lncRNA from 1 species